CAUUUUUCUCUGCUACAGAAGUAAUACAAGUCAAUAUUCUGAUCUAUUCUACAAUUCCAAUGAUAGUAUCCAUGUUUUUCUUUGUUUGCCAUUUAUAAUGAAUAAACGUGCUUCACAAUGGCAUGGCAACCACUACAUCAGGCAAACCUCAUCUCUUAUCCUCAACAUUCAGGUGAUAGAGAUACACUUUUUUAGAGAAACUGUAAGUAUUUAUUCAUUUGGCUGACACAGAUAUAAUUAAUUAGCACUCACCUGACACAGUUUACAUCAUACUUUCAUUCAUUUGACAUUUAAUAACUUAUUUGUGUCCUCCUAGGCAUCCUGUCUAUUCAGUGUAUUCUGUAUAACUAAGACCAUGCGCAUAUCACAUUUAUAUAGUCCUGACUUCUAAUGUUUUCUCCACCAGAUCCGUGCAGCACUGCCAUUCUUGCCCCCUCCUCUGUACUAAUUGCUUACACUGGCAAUGAUGUCUCUAUCAUGGCAUUUGUAUCCCCAGGCCUGCAACACAGUGUGUCUGAUGAGAAACUUGUACAGCACUUGUAUUUCUGCAUUCCCCAGACAACAAUGAAUACAAUACAGAUUUAUGUCUGUUAGAAACUGAAAUAGGUUCAUUGUCACUGUCAUGUGAUUGUCCAUGCCUCUACAACACUUCUAGUCCACAGAACUUCUGCACUCAGUAGAAGAACAUAGUUGGUCAUUGCUUAUCAAAACAGACUUGCUAUUAGGCAAAAAAUGGGAGGAAUCAUAGAAUCAUAGAAUCGUAGAGUCAUAGAAUCACAAAGGUCGGAAAAGAACCACAGGAUCAUGCAUGAGAACCAUUGGUGAUGGAAGGGUGGACGGUUGGUCUGGGUGAUCCUGUGGGUCUUUUCCAACCUUGGUGAUUCCAGGGUUCUAUGAACUAGGAAGGUUAAGGCCUCCUUAGAGUUUAACGUGGCAAGAGCGGUCAAGGACAACGGAAAGGGCUUCUUCAACUACACUGCAGGCAAAACUAACACUGGAGGCGAUGUAGGCCCACUGAUGAAUGAGGUGGGUGCCCUGGUAAGAGAAGCUACAGAGAAGGCGGAGUUACUAAAUGCCGCCUUUGUCUCUGUCCAUACUGCUGGAGGCUGUCCUGAGGAGCCUAGGUCUGCAUUGCUCAGAAAGGAGCAACUAUACCAGUGCCUGGAAUGCUAGCUUAUCAGAAUCCUGAAGCUGUGGGGGCACUGACCUUGACUGCUUCCCCCCCCCACCCGCAACCUGCUCUAUUGCUUACCCUCCUCGCUAUGGUGGGGUGAAUGAUAUGGUGGAAGAAGUCAGCUAAGGAGAGGGAGGUCACACACCAGGUACAGUGCUGCACAAAGCGGUUUCAGUUUGAAGAAGAUUCGUUUAAUUACCCAUGAAAAAAGAACUGGGGUAGUGAGAACUAAUAGCAAACAAAAACCGUUUUCCCAUCCUAACUCGUGCCCAGCUCAGGCACGUGAGGUAAGGAUGGCAGCAGCGCAUCUCAGGGAUGGUCCCCAAAGUGGUACAUGUGUUCACUUGUUGCCAAAGCUCCAAUGUGAUGUAUUUUUUGAUGAUACUCAAGUUAUGUCCGUAACUCCUCCCAUCCCCAUGCCGGGGGCUACUGCCAGCCUGCUUCCAUAUGGGCUGUGACCUCACAGAGUUCUCCCCACCCGCCGGACUAUGAUGUCAUGGCUCUGCCCAUGUAAGCCAGCGGCCAGCACUUUGUCUCUCCCAGUGCGGUCGUGACCGGCUUUGAGCGAUGGUUGUCGACAGCGUUCUCCUUAUCCCCAGCCUCCUGCUCCUGGUGGCUGGGCUGUCUCUGCUCGCCACUUCCUGGUGCCGACAGGUAGGGAAAUUUGAGGAUGGGAGUCACUUGAGGCUAGGUGACUCGGGG
ensembl:lncRNA